ensembl:lncRNA
GGGGGGGGGGGCUGGGGCUGUCAGAGUGCAGGGCCGGUUCAGCGGAGUGCUUUGAGAGGGAGGAGUGUUGUGUGGAGUCAGCGGUGGAGCAAUAAGAUUGUUUUCUUUUGGCCUGGAAAAGAAUGUUUGGGUCACUUUCAAAGGAUUAUCCUGCAGGGUCAUGUGGUUUAAUGCACGCUUUAAUCUCGCUUCAUUUCACCUUGUUGGAAGAAAAGUGGAUGAAGGCGUCAGUUUGAGCAAAGCCUGAUCCGUGCAGUCGGUGUCCCCAGUUUGUUUGCACACGGACUCUCAUGACUGACAGCAGAGUGGACUUUCACAUAGUUCACAGACGAUUACAAAAUCACAUAAUGGUGACACGAUGAAGAAAGAGGGGAAAAAAUUAAAUAUGAGGCCUUUUUUAUUUUGAUUUUGAUCUCACAGAGUCCAGAGGAAUGAUCCUUAAUCAGCCAGCCAAGCAAAAAAUAAAACAACAACAACAAACAAAGAUGAAGUGGAAGCAAAAAAUUAUAAUGAUAAAGUCCAAAAACAGGCUGGACAUGAAAACAGCCAACGCCAACCAGGAAACCACAAGAACACCAAGAACAGGAAGACCUCACACAAAGAAAAAGGAAAGAAGGAAACCUGCAGCGAGCAGCAACGCGACACAGCGUGAGGGGAGCAGGCGGGAAAUCAGCCGAUGCUGAGGGACAGCGGUGAGGCUCAUAUACUGUCAGUACGAACCACGGCAGUGAGAAACAGGUUCUAAUAGCAUUUGAUGUAAAAGGGCAAAGGUCAGAGGUCAAAGUCUGAUCAGGAUCCACUGAAAGCUUUUCCACCUAUCGUGUUUACAGACACUCAAACGCUACAAAAACCAUCACGUCCUUGGCUGAGGUGAGUGGGAAUCAAUGAAGAAACCCAAAAACCAUCGAGAUUCACUGCUUAAAGGUGCAGUAGGCACCAAGUUUAAGUGACUUCCAUCAGACAGGCACUGGGACCAGGACCGGGACCAGGACCGGGACCAGGACCUUUAAACAGCUUUGUAAAAAGAGAGUGUCUGGGGAUUUUGCAGCUGGAGUCGGUGUUUUUCCUGUGUCUGCCCUCGUGGGUGGAGUCCCUGGUGUCUCACCUGAGUUCCAUCCACGGUUAAUCAGCAGAAGGUUCUUGAGGCCAGCGCUGUCCUCCACUCGCCACCAGUUUGUCAGCUACGUUCUGUUAGUGGUCAAUCUACAGACGCAUCCACUGCUGAAGCUUCUAUCGGACGCUGGUCAUACCUGGAAAGUUCAUCUGUAACCUUGGAAAAACAACUACUCACCACACUUACCUGCCUGGCCUCCUGCUCAUCGUUCUCCUCCUGGACUCCCUUGGAGCUGGAUCGGAUCUCUUGCUACUCCCACUGCUCUCACCUUGCCCGGACACUCGAGCCUGCAUCCGAGUCCUGAUUGGAUAAGGCAUAGACAGGAAGGGAAAAGUGAUGACUAUUAGUACAAAUGGAAGAAGAUGUGACCUUUAUCUGAAUGAUCCUGAGGUGGAUCCCCGACACGCUACUCGCACGCUACAGUUCAGGCUCAGCAGGCUGCAUUAUCACAGGAAUGCUACCUGCACACCUGUGUCACCUGCUGUUCACGUGAUUGGACCUUCGGAUAAGAGUGUGCUUUACAUGCUGAUGUGCAAACUGUGAAUGCAGCUCUUCCAGGAAUGAAGCGCAGCAGCGCUGCAUGCCUUUCAAACACACAACCAGAUGGUGCAGUCUGCUCUUUUGCACCAGCGCGUCUCACAAACACCAGUGAAACAUCACAGUUUGAUCAGGUGUGAACAGCAGCCAGUUGUUCAGCUGGUGCUGAACUUGUUCUCUGGGUUAAAAACAUCACAGCUGCUGCUGCCGGAUCUCUGAGCACCUCAAUGCUCAAACCUGUAACUCCAUCUCAUUCGCACGGAGUGAGCUCUGGGGCUAUGAGGAACACACUGAAGUGCCAAAACCUGCAGUCCCUCUAACGUCCAGCAGUGACUCCCCUUUCAUCAGAACUCUACAGGGCGGGGGGUUUAGAUUCACCAGUGUGGGUCAGCUGAAGGGAAAUGGCAGUUUUUGUGGAACUUGAGACGAUGAAAGUGUAUUCACGCCAUGUCUGUGCUACCUCUGUCAGCGGUGACAACGAAAUGAGAAGAACCGAGCCGGGGCCUUUCAGUGUAAGUUUUGCAUGUUCUCCCUGCGCCUGCAGGUUUCCCUCCACAGUCUAAAGACUCACAGGUCAGUUUGAUUCUACGCUGGCCAUGUGACGUGCUGUAUGAGUGUGCGGUCAGAGCACCCCAUGUAGUUCAAAGUGCUCCC